GAGGGAUUGGCCGGGUCUGGGUGAAGGGGAUCACGGCCUGGGGAUUGGAGGGGCACAUCUUCUCCGCACCGAGGAUCUCAGCGACUGCGAGCACGGCUCGGAGACCCACGGUGGUGCAGCGUUGGGGCGCCAGGGCUGCGUUCCCGUCUCGCGUCCCGGACUGAGAAGGUGGGAACCCCCUUCCAGGCCCCCCACCUUUUAUUUCUCUCCUCCCCUGCUUAGCCCAGAGACGAGCUGAGGACGAGGGGGAGCCAUCUCCAAACAGGAACUCCUAAACAGGGUGGGGGGCGCGGACGCAGGCCAGUGGAGACCCCCGCCACCUGUCCCACCUCGACCAACCGUGCGCCUGUGCAGGGCACCCCUACAGGUUUUAGAAUGGGGGCACCUAUGGAAUAUGGCAGGCUGCGAGAAGCUGGGCCCGCCAAGGUGGUCCCAAGGAGGAGUGGGGGGUUGCGGAAAGGAGGAUGAGAGCCAGCCACAAGGCUGGAAAAGGAGUGGGCACCGCAGAGGAGGGAAAAAGAAUCUUGACACUGUCACCGCCAGGGAUCUAGGGGGGCCUCUUACCUUGGAGAAUAACAAUCUCUGAUGUCUGCUAAUUACAGAAAUACUUUCAGAGCUCUUUCAUUCAUCCUGACAAUGGCCAGAGAAGAGCCACUGACAAGACUUUAAGCAAGAGACGGAGAGUUAACAUCUAAUCUGGAGGAAGACCCUGGAAGGAGCCAGCCCCUUCCCCCAGGCUGACCUGGUUUAAGCCUUUCUUCUGCCAAGGUCACCAGCACCCCAGAUGGGUGAGAGAUGUGAUCACUGGUUUCGUGGCCUGACCAAGGACCUCCAAGGAGGUAUCUUUCCCAUCUUGGCCCACAGAGGAGGAAAUCCUAGAAGGGAUGACUGAAGCUUGGGACUAACACAUUGGUGGAUCUGUGCUACCCCCUGCUGGCCGUAGACGGUAUGACAGCCAAGAUAGGGCAAGGCUUCGAGGGGCGAUGGAUGGAUUCACCGCAGCGGCGACAUUUCUGGACUGUUGUCACCUUCAGUGCAGUCACUGGGAAUAUUCAGAACCCAGGUGAUUGAUAAGGUUUUCCCAGGGAUCUCUUCUCUCCCCUUCACCAUUACUCAGUAGGAGCUUCCUUAAAAACGGAAAACGAGAGGCCGGGCGCGGUGGCUCACGCCUGUAAUCCCAGCACUUUGGGAGGCGGAGGCGGGCGGAUCACGAGGUCAGGAGAUCGAGACCAUCCUGGCUAACACAACCCCGUCUCUACUUAAAAUACAAAAAAUUAGCCGGGCGUGGUGGCACGCGCCUGUAGUUCCAGCUACUCAGGAGGCUGAGGCAGGAGAAUCGCUUGAACCCGGGAGGCAGAGGAGGUUGCAGUGAGCUGAGAUGGCGCCACUGCACUCCAGCCUGGCCGACUGAGACUCCAUCUCAAAAAAAAAAAAAAAAAAAGGAAAAAGGGGCCGGGCGCGGUGGCUCACGUCUAUAAUCCUAGCACUUUGGGAGACCAAGGCGGGCAGAUCACGAGGUCAGGAAUUUGAGACUAGUGUGGCCAACAUGGUGAAACCCCAUCUCUACUAAAAAUACAAAAAAUUAGCCGGGUGUGGUGGCGCAUGCCUGUAAUCCUAGCUACUCGGGAGGCCGAGGCAGGAGAAUCGCUUGAACCCAGGAGGCCGAGGUUGCAGUGAGCCGAGAUCACGCCAUUGCACUCCAGCCUGGGCGACAGAGCAAGACUCCGUCUUGAGGGAAAAAAAAAAAAAAAAGAAAAAGGGGCCAGGCACCUGUAAUCCCAGCACUUUGGGAGGCUGAGGAGGGAAGAUCGCUAAAACCCAGGAGUUCAAGACCAGCCUGGGCAACAUGGUGAGACCCCAUCUCUACAAAAAAUGCAAAAAAAAAAAAAACAAAAACAAAAAAAAAAACAGCUGGGCAUGAUGGUGCGCACCUGUAGUCCCAGCUACUCGGGAGGCUGAGGUGGGAGGAUUAUUUGAGCCUGAGAGGUCAAGGCUGCAGUGAGCCAAGAUCGCAUCACUGCACUCUAGCCUGGGUAACAGAGCAAGACCCUGCCUCAAAAAAAAAAAAAAAAAAGGAAAAAGGUUAUUACACAGUUCAAAAGAGAAACAAAGUGCAAAAGCAUGUGCAAAGAAAGUAAAGUCCCUCCUGGCCAAGUGCGAUGGCUCAAGCCUGUAAUCUCAACACCCUGGGAGGCUGAAGUGGGUAGAUCAUUUGAGGUCUGGAGUUUGAGACCAGCCUGGCCAACAUGGUGAAACCCCGUCUCUACUAAAAAUAUAAAAAUUAGCUUGGCGUAGUGGCGGGUGCCUGUAAUCCCAGGUACUCGGGAGGCUGAGGCAGGAGAAUCACUUGAACUUGGGAGGCGGAGGGUGCCGCGAGCCAAGAUCACGCCAGUGCACUCUAGCCUGGGCAACAGAGCAAGACUCCAUCUCGAAGGAAGGAAGGAAGGAAGGAAGGAAGGAAGGAAGGAAGGAAGGAAGGAAGGAAGGAAGGGGAAAGAAAGGAAAGAUCUCUUGCCAAUCAGCCUCCCUGUUGCCCUGUUUCCCAUUCCCUCCCCAGAGGCAACCACUCUUAACAGUUUUUUUGUUUUUGUUUUUGUUUUUUUUUAGACAGAGUCUCACUCUGUUGCCCAGGCGGCUGGAGUGCAGUGGUGUGAUCUCAGCUCACUGCGACCUCCGCUUCCCAGAUUCAAGCAAUUCUCCUGCCUCAGCCUCCUGAGUAGCUGGGACUACAGGUGUGUGCCACCACGUUCAGCUAAUUUUUGUAUUUUUAGUAGAGACGGGGUUUCACCAUGUUGGCCAGGCUGGUCUUGAACUCCUGACCUCAAGUGAUCCACCCGCCUUGGCCUCCCAAAGUGCUGGGAUUACAGGUGUGAGCCACCGCGCCUGGCCUCUUAACAGUUCUAAUGUAUCUUUGCAGAGCUAUUUGGAGCAUAUGCUGUGUAUAUGUGCGUGUGUGUGUGACACAAAUGAUAGCACACGCUCUACACUGUUCAGCACCUGCUAUUUUCAUGUCAUAAUAUACCUGCCUGUAGAUAGUCAACAUAGUUUUCCAUCGUAUGGUGUGUCACAAUUUAUUUACCAUUCCCCUCCUAGUGGAUAUUUAUGUAUGUCCGCCUUUUAUUACUACAAACAAUGCUAAUUACAGGAAAUAUCUUGGUACAUAUAUUUGCAGACAUAUGUGUGUGUGUGAAAUAAAUUUAUAAGUAUGGCAAUUCUGGGUCAAAGAUUAUGUGCUCUUAAAUGUUUUAUAGGUUUUCACAGAAUUGCCCUCCAAAAAUUUUGUACCAAUUUACAAUCCCCAACAACGGAUGAGAUCACCUGUUUCCCCAAAUCCUCACAAACAGGUUAAUAUCAGGCCUUUUGAUCUUAGGUGAUGACUCUUUAAAAGUCCUGCUCACAGAGCAGUUGAUGAUCUGUCUUUUUCUUUGGGCCGCGGGUUUCUCCAAGGAAGGGACUGUGUCUUUCUCAUACCUACAUCCCCAGUGAAGGACUUGACACCAUCCUUGGGAGUUACUCAAGAAGUGUCUGCUAAAUAUUGAGUGAAAGAAACAGAGCUGCAUUUUGGCAGGCUGGGAGGGAGAGGGUAAAAGGUUAGGUUUGAACAGGAGGCCUGCUUUUUUUUUUUUUUUUUGAGAUGGAGUCUCACUCUGUUGCCCAGGCUGGAGUGCAGUGGCGCGAUCUCAGCUCACUGCAACCUCCAAGGAGGACUGCUCUUUAGGGCCACUUUCUCUUCCAGACCCUGGUCAAGCCUCUGCCCCAAAUCCAAAAGCCUUCCUCUUGCAGGAGCCUCCCAGGUUGCAAGGUCUGAGGUUGAAGGCCCAGAACUCCCAGUGCAGCUUUCACCCAGCUCUGCUGCAUUCCAGGGAUGGGCCCCAUCAUCCCCAAGCUGCCUGAGAACUGGAAACAAACUAGGUGUCCAGCUUUAGGGGAUCAGUUAAACCACUGUCCUAUAGAACUUUCUGCAAUGAUGAAAAUGUUCUCUAUCUGCCCUGUCCAAUAUGGCAGCCACUGGCCACUCGUAGCUACCGAGUAUUCAAGCUGUAGCUAGUUCAACUAAGGAAAUAAAUAAAUGUUACUUAAUUUUAAUUAAUUUCCAUUUAAGUAGCCAUGUGUGGCUACAUAUUGGACAGUGAAGGGUUCAGUAAAUUAUGAUAUAGCCCCACAAUGGAAAACUAUGCAGCUGUAAAAAAAAAAAAUAAUAAGGAUGCCAAGAAAAAUGGAAAGAUCUUCAGGAUAUAUUUUGAAACAAAAAUGUGGUACAGGCUGUGUGCAGUGGCUCACGCCAAUAAUCCCAGCACUUUGGGAGGCCAAGGUGAGAGGCCGAGGCAGGAGGAUCACUUGAGUCCAGGGGUUCAAGACCAGCCUGGUCAACAUAAUGAGACUUCCGUCUCUACAGAAAGUGAAAAAAAAAAAAAAGACAGCAUGGUGGUAUAUGAAUGUAGUCCCAUCUACUCAGGAAGCUGAGGUGGGAGGAUUGCUUGAGCCAGGGAAGUUGAGGCUGCAGUAAGCUGUGAUUGUGCCACCACACUCCAGCCUGUGUGACAGAGCAAGACCCCAUCUAAAAAAAAAAAAAAAGGCCAGGCACGAUGGCUCACACAUGUAAUCCCAGCACUUUGGGAGGCCGAGGACCGUGGAUCACCUGAGGUUGGGAGCUCAAGACCAGCCUGACCAACAUAGAGAAACCUCAUCUCUACUAAAAACACAAAAUUAGCUGGGUGUGGUGGCACAUGCCUAUAAUCCCAGCUACUCAGAAGACUGAGGCAGAAGAACCACUUGAACCCAGGAGGCGGAGGUUGCGGUGAGCCAAGAUAGUGCCAUUGCACUUCAGCCUGGGUAACAAGAGCGAAACUCUGUCUCAAAAAAAAAAAUGUGGUUCAGAACAGUAUACAUAGUAUGUCAUCUUUUUUGAAAGAAAGGCAGGUAGGCCGGGCGCAGUGGCUCACACCUGUAAUCCCAGCACUUUGGGAGGCCGAGGUGGGCGGAUCACGAGGUCAGGAGAUUGAGACCAUCCUGGCUAACGCGGUGAAACCCUGUCUCUACUAAAAAUACAAAAAAUUAGCCGGGCGUAGGUGGUGCACUCCUGUAGUCCCAGCUACUCGGGAGGCUGAGGCAGGAGAAUGGCGUAAAACCCGGGAGGCUGAGCUUGCAGUGAGCCAAGAUCGCGCCACUGUACUUCAGCCUGGGAGACAGAGCGAGAUUCCGUCUCAAAAAAUAAAAAAAAAAGAAAAAGAAAGGCAGGUAGAGGAGGCUGGAUGUGGUGGCUCAUGCCUGUAAUACCAGCACUUUGGGAGGCCAAGGGGGACAGAUCACUUGCAGAAAUGUGAGACCGGCCUGGACAACAUGGUGAAACCCCAUCUCUACACAAAAUACAAAAAUUAGUUGGACGUGGUAGUGCGCACCUGUAGUCCCAGCUACUCAGGAGGCUAAAGUGGGAGGGUUGCUUGAGCUGGGGAAGUCAAGGCUGCAGUGAGCCAAGAUUGCACCACUGCACUCCAGCAGGGGUGACAGAGGGAGACAGCAGGAGUGACAGAGUGAGACCCUGUCUCAAAAAAAAAAAGAAAAGAGCUUUGCACAGUGGUAGUAUCGUAGCCAAUGAAUGAAAGGGAGGUGGAAAUAAAAAUAAAUGUUUAUAUUUGCUUGAAUUUGCAUAGGGAAAGCAAUAACAGUGGGUGACCUAUAGGGAGCUGGGGAAUCCUGUUGCGGGGGUAGGCAAGGACAGGGUGGGAACAGAGCUUUCCAGUGAAUUUCUUUAUAUUUCAUUUUGGUUGUUGAAACAUGUACAUAUAUUACCUAUUCAAAAAGUUAAAUUAAGGUCAGGUGCAGUGGCUCAUGCCCGUAAUCCCAGUACUUUGGGAGGUUGAGGUAGGAGGAUCACUUUACCCCAGGAGUUGGAGACCAGCCUGGGCAAUAUAGUGAGACCUCCUUUCUACAAAAAGUUUACAAAUUAGCCAUAAGCCAG
rnacentral:lncRNA from 10 species